rnacentral:rRNA from 1 species
UACGUAGGGUGCAAGCGUUGUCCGGAAUUAUUGGGCGUAAAGAGCUCGUAGGCGGCUUGUCGCGUCGGCUGUGAAAACCUGGGGCUCAACCCCGGGCCUGCAGCCGAUACGGGCAAGCUAGAAUUCGGUAGGGGAGACUGGAAUUCCUGGUGUAGCGGUGAAAUGCGCAGAUAUCAGGAAGAACACCUAUGGCGAAGGCAGCUCUCUGGGACGGUACUGACGCUGAGACGCGAAAGCGUGGGGAGCGAACAGG